GAUAUUGCACAAUGGGCGGAAGCCUGAUGCAGCAACGCCGCGUGAGUGAUGAAGGCCCUCGGGUCGUAAUACUCUUUUCAAGAGGAAGAGGAAGGACGGUACUCUUGGAAUAAGCCUCGGCUAACUACGUGCCAGCAGCCGCGGUAACACGUAGGAGGCGAGCGUUAUUCGGAUUUACUGGGCGUAAAGCGCGUGUAGGCGGCUGAUCAAGUUGGAUGUGAAAGCUCCCGGCUUAACUGGGAGAGGACGUUCAAAACUGAACAGCUUGAGUAUGAGAGAGGAAAAUGGAAUUCCGGGUGUAGUGGUGAAAUGCGUAGAUAUCCGGAG
rnacentral:rRNA from 1 species